AGCAGAGUGGCGCAGUGGAACCGUGCUGGGCCGAUUACCCAGAGGUCCGUGGUUCGACACCACGCUCUGCUA
rnacentral:tRNA from 1 species